GUAUAAAGAACAAUGCAUAGUGUGAAAAUGCGGAUUAUAAAAAAGUAUAUUAAAGAAAAGGACUACAUUUCCCAGAAUGCACCUGCACCCACUCAUCUGACUGCCCCCACCCUUCAGGUGCGACUGCUCAACCUAUGGGCUUGACGGAAAAUUCAAAUCGCGAACCGUUACUGCCUGGACUACUCCGUCUCUUGUUUGUUUGCUCAUUAACAGUAAGAGGUCAUGUACACUGUGGUCAACUUUGUGGACGAUGAAGAGGUUUCUGAAGAAAUAUAAUGAAGUAACAGUGAAAGCUAAAACAUCAGACUGAUCCAGACACUGAAGAAAUUGAUGUCACUGCAAUCUGGCCAAAAUGAUACAACUAUAUUGAAGUAGCCUACUGUAAUGAAGCUGCAGAACAACACAGAGACUCUGAGGACAUCAACACAGAAAAUGAAGGCUCCAAAGAGAUGUCUGUCCAGAUGAGGGUGCAUCAAUGUUACGUUUGCUGACAAAUAUAUGCUUUACAAUGUAAAACCUAACAGUUAACUUAACUCAAACCAUUUAAGGAAAUCGGUUGCCUUAACCCA